AAGACAGAUUACCUCUAAGAUCUUUUCCAAACUGGAGAUUCUGUGUUGUGAUUCUAGGUUAUUUAUAAAGGGGUAUUCUGAAGAAGCUCAAUGGAUGGUUCCAGAAUUCCAGAGAUUGAUAGUCUCAGCUUCAUAUUAUUCAGCUUUUACUUCCACAUCUUCCUCUUUCCUCUUCCUUUACAUGGCUGUGUCUCUAGCACCACUGUUAUGGUUUGGAGUCAUGAGUUAUGAGGCUCACUCUCAGGUUCACAAAUGGAGUAAGGAGGGAUAAAGGAGGGAAAGAGAGUUUGAAAACGAGAGAUGACUUUGUGAAGCACUAAGAGGAAACUCAGACAUGAUGUACACAUGUGAGAGAGAAAUUUCCAGAAGGAGAAGUGAACUGAGUUGUAAACUGAGAAAGAGGAAGGAGGGUCAGUGCCUGCAGAUGCAUUGGCUUGUCAGUCCACCAUGUGAAACAACUAAGUUGAUGGAAGUUAUGAGAUGCUAAAAUUCUCUGUUCCUGGUGACCUGAAAAGUUACUUUUGCUUCCCAAAGUGCUUAGUUUGAUCCCAGGGAAAACUCUUGGCAGGGGAGAAUCUCAGUGGUAAUUGCAACAAAGAAAAACGUGGCAGCAAAGAAGCAUGGGUGACUGUGUUAAUCUGUGUUCUCCAGAGGAGCAAAACAAAGUGUAUAUAAAUAUACAGAGAGAGCAAUUUACGUCAAGGAAACAGCUUAUGCAAGUGUGGGGGCUGGUAAGCCCCAAAUCAGUGGAUCAGGUGAUAGGCUGAAGACCUCUCCUGGCUCAAGUUGUUACAGGGACUAAGGAACUCAAAAUCUGCAGGUCGGGUGGCAGGCCAGAGACUUCUGCAAGCUCAUGUCCCCCAAGAACCCAGAGCAACGUGUGGAAGAGGAUUGGCAUGGCAGCACUUAUGAGGGUGCUUCAUAGGGGAGGGACAUGGCCAGCAAACAAAUGUGGAAGGCAUGUGUUAUUUGAGCAAAAUAGAAGUAAACUGCCAAGUCCUUCUUCCUUCUGUCUUAGUCUGGAAGCUCAAGCUCAGCUGAAACCUGUCCACCAAGGGUGACCCUGCUGGUAUUUGAAAUACUGGUGGCAAAGUUUCCAGUAUUGCAGCAACAAGCCAGCCACCACAGUAUGACAAACUGACAGACUCUAUGAUAUGGGCAGGGAUUACUGUUUUCAUUUUACCAAUUAAGAGAGAAUCUCAAUAACAAAUAUAGGAAAACUGCUUGAUCCUAUUAGCAUUAUAAGCAGCAUACAUUAAAAUAACACAAAAGCAUAUUUUGACCAUCAAAGUAACAAAGCUAUGGAGUAUCAAAUUAUCAAGAUUAGAAAGGAGAUAAUGCUUUAUGCUGGUAAGUUUGCAUUGAGACAUGCAAAAUUGUGGCUGGCAAAGGAGAAGAAAGUAUGCUUUGGUUAAGCAUUUUAGAAGAGCAAUUUGCAAUAUGUAUCAAGUCAUUUAAAAGUAUUCAUACCUUUGGACUCAGUAAUGUCAUUUCCAGGGUUCCCUUCUAAGAAAGUAAUAAAAAUGUGGACAAAAUCUGUAUGUAAAGUAUUUCUCACAAUGCUCUUUAUAAUGAUAAAACUCUGGAAAUAACCCAAAUACUUAAUCAUAAGGAAAUAGUUAUGAUACAUCUACAUAAUGGAAUAUUAUGAAGCCCCCAAAAUUGAUGUUUUGGAAGAACUCUUAAAAUGAUGUGAGAAGGUGUCCAGAAUGUAAUGUUAAAAGCAGGGUGAAGGACUUACAUGAUGGCAUGAUCACAGCUGUGUAAAGACAUGAAUGUAAAUCCUUUCAAACUAGCCUGGAAGAAAAUAAAACUAGUUUUUUGAGGUUUCUGGGUCAUGUAUAAUUUUGGAUUUAAAAAAUUGUUGCUAUUGUUAGUUGCUCUCAAGUCGAUGACUUUAUGUACAACAGAACACAGUGUUGCCUGGUCCUGGUUUUGUUUGUUUUUUCUUCUGAUUAUAAAAAUAACACUUACCCUUUUCUAAAAAUAUGGAAUGUACUAAUAAGUACAAAGGCCUAUGUUUUACUUUUAUAAUCAGAAAAAAGAAAACAGUAAAAGUUCUUCUUUUAAAAAGUAAAAGAAAUAUGCUCAGAGACAUUAGUUAACUUUUCCAAAGUCACAUGACUGCUAAACAGAGGACCUACCACCUGAACCCAUUUCUUCUGCCUCUAAUCCCUACAUCUCUGUUCCCAUACCAUGGUGUCUCUGAAACAUUUAGCUUGAGCAACACAUCACUAAUGGUUUAAAUGAUUAGAAAACAAACCAUUCACAGAAUUACACUAGAGUCCAUUACUGUUUUGAUUAGCCUAGCAAUAUUUACCCAUAGUAAGCCUAGGGUAGAA